UAUGCUCUCUAUAAUGAAAAUGCCUCAACCCAAUGAGACCAGCCUACUGCUAUAUAGAGGUACUGUACGCCUGGCUUCAAACUGAUCGGAAACUCAUCUCUACAGGCUGCACUUCUAUUAACUCCGUUCCCUUUAUUCAUUCAGGAUUAGUUUUAUUUUCCAUCUAAAAUAAAGAAAAGGCACUCACAACCUUCAGCUCCCUUAUCUGGAAGAAAAUGGACAUACAGUAAUUCAGUCAACGUUUCACUAACAUCUGCGAACACUUACAUCUACAGACGCCGAGCAGUGAAAGGGAACCACAGAAGGCCUUCCAGUUUAUGUUCAAGAUGUUCCAGAACAAAGUGGUCUGCUUAAUUCUUGACUCUGCAACUGAACUCAACAUCCACCACUAUGAGUACAGCAUGUACUACCUAUGGGAGCAACUCACCAAGCUUACUGUGACAGCAUCUUGCAGACUUACAAUCUCAAUCAACAGGAAGGAUAAAUGCAGUUAAUGUGAUGGGGGAACACCAUCAUCUGAAAAUUCCCUUACCCAGUAACACACCAUUCCAACUUAGACAUCGAGCACUACUUUGGGAGCAGGAUCACCACAAAGCCUGCAGUGUUGUCAAGGAAAAGCCCUAGUACCAGUUUAACAGGGCAAUCAAGGAUGUCCAAAGUUCGAAAGGGCUGAUGACAAUAAAGAUAUACAACAUGCCACUGAACAUUAGUCCUGAAUGAAAGCCUUUUUGCCAAUACUUCUUCUUCAAGAGAGGAGGCCACCAGGAAGUUGAAGCUUGGAUUCAUUGCUGCCUGUAUACAAGCAUGGGAGAAGAAGGAGAAGAGUGCGACAGAGGAGGCUGGCUCAUCAAGGGGAGGAGCAAAACCCUCAAGACCAAGGGGCAGCAGACAGAGGACGAGGCAAACAGAAACGCUGUGUGUAGGCACCUCACUAGACCCCGCGUGCACAGAUGUCGCAUGUCUUAUCUGCAGGUGAGCGAGAACCAGUGUCGCUGAUGCCUCUGCAUGUCCAGGCCUCUGGUGACUCACCUUUGCCACAUUUUCCAGGAAUUGGCGCCACGGGGACUGGGAGGACAUCCAUUGCCAGUAGCUCUGAAAGUGACAGCCGCACUCAACUUCAGUGCCAGUGGCUCCUUCCAGGGCUUGAUUGCAGACCUCUGCAGGAUCUCUUAAGUGUCCAUGCACAAAUGCAUACAUGAGGUCACAGACGCCCUUUUAACCAAGGCCCACAAUUACAGCAACUUCGACAGAGAUCAAAUCAAGCAAGCCAGGACGCCAGAACAUUGGGCUUUGCAGAGAUUUCCAGGUUUCCACAGAUGCAGGGAGUCUUCGCCUGCACUCGUGGUUAUCUAAGCUCCCUGGCAAUAAGCACUCCAAUACAUGAACAGGAAAGGCUUCCACUCGCUCAAUGUACAGUUGGUGUGCAACCAUAACAAACCCUGCAAGUUUGUGCCAGGUACCCAGGAGGCAUCCUCGGCACAUACAUCUUGAGUAUAUUGCAGAUCUUGGACAUCUUCAAGGGACUACACAAGAUCCAGGGCUGGCUUCUCAGUGAUAAAGGGCUACCUGCAAAGGAUAUGGCUGAUGACGCCCGUUCGGCAGCCACAGACUCGUGCAGAGACAAGGUACAACGAGGCUCAUGCUGCUAUCUGGACAUUGGUGGAGCACACCAUAGGGAUCCUAAAGAUGCGAUUCUGAUGCCUGGACAGAUCUGGAGGAGCACUCCAGUACAUUCCCCAGGGGAUCUCAUGGAUCAUCGUGGCUUACUGCGUGCUGCAUAAUCUUGUGCUGCAAAGGCUGGGAGGAUAGGAACUUGCCAGAUGCCGACAUGGUGGAGCUACAUGUCUCCUCCAAUAAGGAGGGCCUUGAAGGAGUGGAGGGUGAUGAGGUCAAGGAAGCCAAGGGUGCAGAUGAAGA